GGCCUAUGAUGAUCAAAUUUGUCCGUACCAUCUGAGAUUAUCUUUGAUGUAUCUAUAUUUGCCAUUUCUGAGGCCU